rnacentral:lncRNA from 1 species
CUGGGGUCAGGACAUAGUGCAGGAGCAGGAUCAGGGCUCAGGGUCAAGGCUCAAUGUGCAACUGCAGUCAGGACACAGUGUGGGGUGAAGGUUGGGGCUCAGCUAGCACCAGAGUAGAGGCUGUGUCCAGGUUAAGACUGUAACGCAAGACAGAAAACACACACAGCCAUACGAGGCCACUGUCAGCCGUGCUGGGUAUCUUUAUUUAUUAAGCUUUAUUUUCUGUAGAAGCAAGGUUUUGCUAUGCUGUCCAGGCUGGUCUCGAACUCCUGGCCUCAAGUGAUCUUCCUGCCUCAGCCUCCCAAAGUGCUGUGAUUACAGGCAUGAGCCACUGUGCCCAGGCCAUGGUGGGUAUUUUUAAUGGACAAGAACCCAGAAUGAAGAUCUACAGAGGCUUCCUGGAGGUGGUGGGACUGAGGUCAUCUGGUUUGGCAGGAUGGAAGGCCAGCUUUCCCAGGGUGGAACCAUCAGAGUGGAGGGAGGCCAGGCGUGCGCAGAAGGCAGCUGGACAUGUGGCUACACCUCAGGUUCUUUCAUAGACAAGUUACUGACACAUUGCUGGCUCCAGGGGAAAACGCAAAACGAGGAAAAGGCCCCUCUCCCUGCUCUCAGGGAUGCUGUAGUCUUUUGACUCUCGGCUGUGCCAGAGCUUCCCCGGAAGCUCCUGGGACCAGCAUGCCUCCCACUCAAGCCAGUCAGCCAGCAUCUUGCUCCUGGGACAGGCUUUGGGCUGGGGGGCUGAAAGCAGCGGUGCCUGCCACGCCCGAGAAGCAGGCUCCAACUCACGUGCUCGUCAGCAGCCGCACUGCUGCCUGCUUUGUCAUUUUAUGCUUAUGUAAAAAAAUACUUUUUGCAAGAAAAAUCUACAGGUACAAAAUGUCAUCCCAGCCCCAUACAGUACCAAGUAAUAUAUAGGCAUAUAUAUAUAUAUAUAUAUAUUUAUGUAUUUAUAACAGAAAAUUGGAUAGAAAUUAUUCCA